AUUUAUAUAGUAUAAAAAAUUAUAAUUGACUUCCAAUCAAAAGAUCUAAUAUAAUUAGUAUAAAUA
rnacentral:tRNA from 1 species